UACGUAGGGUGCAAGCGUUAAUCGGAAUUACUGGGGCGUAAAGCGUGCGCAGGCGGUUGUGCAAGACCGAUGUGAAAUCCCCCGGGCUCAACCUGGGAAUGGCAUUGGUGACUGCACGGCUAGAGUGUGUCAGAGGGGGGGUAGAAUUCCACGUGUAGCAGUGAAAUGCGUAGAGAUGUGGAGGAAUACCGAUGGCGAAGGCAGCCCCCUGGGAUAACACUGACGCUCAUGCACGAAAGCGUGGGGAGCAAACAGG
rnacentral:rRNA from 1 species